GACGAACGCUGGCGGCGUGCCUAAUACAUGCAAGUUGAGCGAUGAAGAUUGGUGCUUGCACCAAUUUGAAGAGCAGCGAACGGGUGAGUAACGCGUGGGGAAUCUGCCUUUGAGCGGGGGACAACAUUUGGAAACGAAUGCUAAUACCGCAUAACAACUUUAAACAUAAGUUUUAAGUUUGAAAGAUGCAAUUGCAUCACUCAAAGAUGAUCCCGCGUUGUAUUAGCUAGUUGGUGAGGUAAAGGCUCACCAAGGCGAUGAUACAUAGCCGACCUGAGAGGGUGAUCGGCCACAUUGGGACUGAGACACGGCCCAAACUCCUACGGGAGGCAGCAGUAGGGAAUCUUCGGCAAUGGACGAAAGUCUGACCGAGCAACGCCGCGUGAGUGAAGAAGGUUGUCGGAUCGUAAAACUCGGUUGGUAGAGAAGAACGUUGGUGAGAGUGGAAAGCUCAUCAAGUGACGGUAACUACCCAGAAAGGGACGGCUAACUACGUG
rnacentral:rRNA from 1 species